ACGAACGCUGGCGGCGUGCUUAACACAUGCAAGUCGAACGGAAAGGCCCUGCUUUUGUGGGGUGCUCGAGUGGCGAACGGGUGAGUAACACGUGAGUAACCUGCCCUUGACUUUGGGAUAACUUCAGGAAACUGGGGCUAAUACCGGAUAGGAGCUCCUGCUGCAUGGUGGGGGUUGGAAAGUUUCGGCGGUUGGGGAUGGACUCGCGGCUUAUCAGCUUGUUGGUGGGGUAGUGGCUUACCAAGGCUUUGACGGGUAGCCGGCCUGAGAGGGUGACCGGCCACAUUGGGACUGAGAUACGGCCCAGACUCCUACGGGAGGCAGCAGUGGGGAAUAUUGCACAAUGGGCGGAAGCCUGAUGCAGCAAUGCCGCGUGCGGGAUGACGGCCUUCGGGUUGUAAACCGCUUUCGCCUGUGACGAAGCGUGAGUGACGGUAAUGGGUAAAGAAGCACCGGCUAACUACGU
rnacentral:rRNA from 1 species